rnacentral:sRNA from 1 species
GUUGGGCAUGGUGGCACAUGCCUGUAAUCCCAGAACCCAGGAAGCUGAGGCAAGAGUUUUACAAGUUUGAGACCAGCCUAAGCAACUCAGCUAGACCCUGUCUCAA